rnacentral:rRNA from 1 species
ACUCCUACGGGAGGCAGCAGUGGGGAAUAUUGCACAAUGGGCGCAAGCCUGAUGCAGCCAUGCCGCGUGUAUGAAGAAGGCCUUCGGGUUGUAAAGUACUUUCAGCGGGGAGGAAGGCGAUAAGGUUAAUAACCUUGUCGAUUGACGUUACCCGCAGAAGAAGCACCGGCUAACUCCGUGCCAGCAGCCGCGGUAAUACGGAGGGUGCAAGCGUUAAUCGGAAUUACUGGGCGUAAAGCGCACGCAGGCGGUCUGUCAAGUCGGAUGUGAAAUCCCCGGGCUCAACCUGGGAACUGCAUUCGAAACUGGCAGGCUAGAGUCUUGUAGAGGGGGGUAGAAUUCCAGGUGUAGCGGUGAAAUGCGUAGAGAUCUGGAGGAAUACCGGUGGCGAAGGCGGCCCCCUGGACAAAGACUGACGCUCAGGUGCGAAAGCGUGGGGAGCAAACAGGAUUAGAUACCCCGAGUAGUCCCAUGA